UUCUUGAUCGUAUAACGGUUAGUAUGCUCGCUUGUCACGUGACCACGUCUCGCGGGAGAUCGGAGUUCGAUUCUCCGUCAGGAAG
rnacentral:tRNA from 1 species